rnacentral:rRNA from 1 species
CAAUGGGCGCAAGCCUGAUCCAGCCAUGCCGCGUGAGUGAUGAAGGCCCUAGGGUUGUAAAGCUCUUUUGUGCGGGAAGAUAAUGACGGUACCGCAAGAAUAAGCCCCGGCUAACUUCGUGCCAGCAGCCGCGGUAAUACGAAGGGGGCUAGCGUUGCUCGGAAUCACUGGGCGUAAAGGGUGCGUAGGCGGGUCUUUAAGUCAGGGGUGAAAUCCUGGAGCUCAACUCCAGAACUGCCUUUGAUACUGAAGAUCUUGAGUUCGGGAGAGGUGAGUGGAACUGCGAGUGUAGAGGUGAAAUUCGUAGAUAUUCGCAAGAACACCAGUGGCGAAGGCGGCUCACUGGCCCGAUACUGACGCUGAGGCACGAAAGCGUGGGGAGCAAACAGGAUUAGAUACCCUGGUAG